CUACGUGCCAGCAGCCGCGGUAAAACGUAGGUCACAAGCGUUGUCCGGAAUUACUGGGUGUAAAGGGAGCGCAGGCGGGAAGACAAGUUGGAAGUGAAAUCCAUGGGCUCAACCCAUGAACUGCUUUCAAAACUGUUUUUCUUGAGUAGUGCAGAGGUAGGCGGAAUUCCCGGUGUAGCGGUGGAAUGCGUAGAUAUCGGGAGGAACACCAGUGGCGAAGGCGGCCUACUGGGCACCAACUGACGCUGAGGCUCGAAAGUGUGGGUAGCAAACAGGAUUAGAUACCCUGGUAGUCCACACUGUAAACGAUGAUUACUAGGUGUUGGAGGAUUGACCCCUUCAGUGCCGCAGUUAACACAAUAAGUAAUCCACCUGGGGAGUACGACCGCAAGGUUGAAACUCAAAGGAAUUGACGGGGGCCCGCACUAGCAGUGGAGUAUGUGGUUUAAUUCGACGCAACGCGAAGAACCUUACCAAGUCUUGACAUCCUGUGACGAUGCUGGAAACAUGAUUUCUCUUCGGAACACGGAGACAGGUGGUGCAUGGUUGUCGUCAGCUCGUGUCGUGAGAUGUUGGGUUAAGUCCCGCAACGAGCGCAACCCUUAUGGUCAGUUACUACGCAAGAGGACUCUGGCCGGACUGC
rnacentral:rRNA from 1 species